rnacentral:rRNA from 1 species
CGAAAGCCUGAUCCAGCCAUGCCGCGUGCGGGAAGAAGGCCGUUCGGGUUGUAAACCGCUUUAGUCCGGGAAAAAGGGGUGCGAGGAUAAUACCCUCGUGCUUUGAUGGUACUGGAAGAAUAAGCACCGGCUAACUACGUGCCAGCAGCCGCGGUAAUACGUAGGGUGCGAGCGUUAAUCGGAAUUACUGGGCGUAAAGCGUGCGCAGGCGGUCUUGUAAGACAGUCGUGAAAGCCCCGGGCUUAACCUGGGAACUGCGAUUGUGACUGCAAGGCUAGAGUGUGUCAGAGGGGGUGGAAUUCCACGUGUAGCAGUGAAAUGCGUAGAGAUGUGGAGGAACACCGAUGGCGAAGGCAGCCCCCUGGGAUAACACUGACGCUCAUGCACGAAAGCGUGGGGAGCAAACAGGAUUAGAUACCCUGGUAGUCCACGCCCUAAACGAUGUCAACUGGUUGUUGGAAGGGUAACCUUUUAGUAACGAAGCUAACCGCGUCGAAGUUGACCGCCUGGGGAGUACGGUCGCAAGAUUAAAACUCAAAGGAAUUGACGGG